GCGUGCCUAACACAUGCAAGUCGAACGAGAAAGCGGGGGCAACUCCGUGAGUAAAGUGGCGACCGGGUGAGUAACACGUGACUAACCUGCCCUUUAGUGGGGGAUAACCUCGGGAAACCGGGGCUAAUACCGCAUAACAUCCAGCGGGUGCAACUCCCGCCGGAUCAAAGGAGCAAUUCGCUGAAGGAGGGGGUCGCGGCCGAUUAGCUAGUUGGUAGGGUAAUGGCCUACCAAGGCGACGAUCGGUAGCCGGCCUGAGAGGGCGCACGGCCACACUGGAACUGAAACACGGUCCAGACUCCUACGGGAGGCAGCAGUGGGGAAUUUUGCGCAAUGGGGGAAACCCUGACGCAGCAACGCCGCGUGGAGGAUGAAGUCCUUUGGGACGUAAACUCCUUUCGACCGGGACGAUUAUGACGGUACCGGUGGAAGAAGCCCCGGCUAACUUCGUGCCAGCAGCCGCGGUAAUACGAGGGGGGCAAGCGUUGUUCGGAAUUAUUGGGCGUAAAGGGCGCGUAGGCGGUGCGGUAAGUCACCUGUGAAACCUCUGGGCUUAACUCAGAGCCUGCAGGCGAAACUGCCGUGCUGGAGUAUGGGAGAGGUGCGUGGAAUUCCCGGUGUAGCGGUGAAAUGCGUAGAUAUCGGGAGGAAUACCUGUGGCGAAAGCGGCGCACUGGACCAUAACUGACGCUGAGGCGCGAAAGCUAGGGGAGCAAACAGGAUUAGAUACCCUGGUAGUCCUAGCCCUAAACUAUGGAUGCUUGGUGUAGUGGGUACCCAAUCCCGCUGUGCCGCAGCUAACGCGUUAAGCAUCCCGC
rnacentral:rRNA from 1 species